CUGCUGCUGCCACUCCCCACUGAUUGCACUCUGGGCCAGGAACUUAAUCCUGCUGUCACUGCUACCCAAGAGCUGGACACCUCCGUUUCCACCCUUGCCCUGCACAGUGGAUUCUGGACAUCGCCUCCUGACUCAAAUUCCUCCCUUUGAAAGUGAGGUCUCUUAUGAGUGACUCUGACUGGUGAGGUCCGAGUCACAUGUCUGUGCCCAGCUGCAAAGGAGACUGGGUAACCAAGUUUCUGAUUUCUGCCUUGGGGAGGUGUGACUCAUGAGGCUGGAGGCUCUGGAACUCGCCAAGGAUGUUUGUGUGACGUCAAACCAACUAACAACGAACAUGAUAAAGUCUGCUGCAAGGACGGUAAGUCCACAAGAACAGGAAAUGUCUUUUCUUUGCUGGUGGACCUCCUGCCCAUAGCUUGUGCCUGGCACAAGGUAGACAGUCCUUAGCUCCUUAUUGAAUGAAUGAAUAAAUGGCAGCAAGAGGGUGAUGCUCACUGUGGGGCUUGGACAUGAUGUCCUUUCAUUUACGGGUAUUUUGGGAGAGAGUUAAGCCACCUGGACAGCAAUUUGUGUCUUAUUUGGACCAUCUUGCCAACCAGUCUGCAAUCUGUGUCACUGGUCUGAUUCUCUACUCUUUGCGGGAUGGGCAGUGGUGUGGUCCCUGGGAUUAGGCAGAAAGCAACUGACCCAGUUCAACAGAGAGGGUUGAAGCAAACACGGUUAACGAUGAAAACCUGUAUUGAUUGCAACAAUCUCUACUUUACUCCACUGUUCCUCCAGCGGAUACUGUCUACCCAGCACCCAGUUCCCACUUCCUCCUCCCUCACAGGACCCCGUGUUUGUUUGUGCCUCUGGGAGAAGCUGGCCCCACCCCCAGCUCCUGGCUGACCUGAUUGGUCUGAGGUAAUUCCAUUUUUCUUGCCAGCGAUUGGUCAGGAAUGGGCCAAUGAGAUGCAAGGAGAUGUAAUGAGGGGUAGGGGGAAGUCUUUACACUCUGCAAGAGUCUCUGAGAGUUGUUCUCUUCUGUUUUUUUCUGAACGCUGUCGUGGGUGGAUCUAAGGCUCUGAACUGCCCUAGUCAUCUUGUGGUCUGGUCUGAAGAUGAUGGAUACACGAAAAAGAAUCACAGGACCAGGUUUCCAGAUCAUACCAGAUCUCCACCAGAUUCUGCCCUACCUCCAGGUUCCAGAGCUAGAGCAAAGUCACUGGGACAAACACCCCCGCCUCUCAGCUGAGGACACCACCCGAAGUUUGACCUGCGUCAGCCGUCCAUGUUUGCAGUUCCGCAGACCCAGCCUCUGGAGCCGGGGAGGAAGGGGAAGAGAGAAAGCACAGGGUUCCUCAGCGACUAGUUAGUUCCAGGUUAUUCCACACAGGAAGAGGGAAAGCAGAAUCAGCCUCCUUCAGAGCCUCUGCUCCCCCAGGGGGAAACUCCCAGAAGAACAAGCAGCAAGCAUCUCAGGGGCCCUGCUGCCCUGUUAGUCCAGUGGGAGGACUGCAUCCCAAGGACCCCCAAUGUCCUCUGCUUCUCUCCCACCCUCUGGUCUAUGCCCACUCAGAGGACUGAGUUGGGGGAGUCAGCUGCCCAGCGCAGGGCUCAGUUUCCCCAUCUCUUUCUAGAAAUGGUCACUCUCUAGAGACAGGUAGGUGGAGAACGCAGACCUCUGCUGGAUCCAGGGGCAUGGGUCCUUUUCCUUGUGGAUGAGAUACCCAGAAGGUGGGAGAAACGAUGUUCAGGAUGUGAAGUCAAUCACGUAGCAGCCUGGCAAGAUGUGGGGGAGGCAGGAACACAUCUUCCCGAAGGGUUAUCUGGGAGUGGUUUCCCCAGGGAGACAGUGGGUGGAGGGAGGGAGGUAGGAGGUGGCAGCUCUCUUGCCUUGCCCUGCACCUG
ensembl:lncRNA